GCACGAGUGGCGGAAUUGGUAGACGCGUCAGCUUGAGGGGCUGGUGAGCAUUGCGCUCGUGGAGGUUCAAGUCCUCUCUCGUGCACCA
rnacentral:tRNA from 1 species